rnacentral:rRNA from 1 species
AAAUUGAAGAGUUUGAUCAUGGCUCAGAUUGAACGCUGGCGGCAGGCCUAACACAUGCAAGUCGAACGGUAACAGGAAGAAGCUUGCUUCUUUGCUGACGAGUGGCGGACGGGUGAGUAAUGUCUGGGAAACUGCCUGAUGGAGGGGGAUAACUACUGGAAACGGUAGCUAAUACCGCAUAACGUCGCAAGACCAAAGAGGGGGACCUUCGGGCCUCUUGCCAUCGGAUGUGCCCAGAUGGGAUUAGCUAGUAGGUGGGGUAACGGCUCACCUAGGCGACGAUCCCUAGCUGGUCUGAGAGGAUGACCAGCCACACUGGAACUGAGACACGGUCCAGACUCCUACGGGAGGCAGCAGUGGGGAAUAUUGCACAAUGGGCGCAAGCCUGAUGCAGCCAUGCCGCGUGUAUGAAGAAGGCCUUCGGGUUGUAAAGUACUUUCAGCGGGGAGGAAGGGAGUAAAGUUAAUACCUUUGCUCAUUGACGUUACCCGCAGAAGAAGCACCGGCUAACUCCGUGCCAGCAGCCGCGGUAAUACGGAGGGUGCAAGCGUUAAUCGGAAUUACUGGGCGUAAAGCGCACGCAGGCGGUUUGUUAAGUCAGAUGUGAAAUCCCCGGGCUCAACCUGGGAACUGCAUCUGAUACUGGCAAGCUUGAGUCUCGUA